GGUGAGCCCCGGUGGGAGGACCCAGCCUGACCCCAGCAAGCUCUGCGCUUCUUCCUCCCUAACAUCUCUUGCCGAUCCUCACAACAAAAGUCCUUUUAAUCACCUGGGCAACGGUUCAUGGAACACUGAAUGUAAAAGAUUUCGGAGAGGCUAUCACCAGAGCACUGGACACUGCCUGAUGAAUUUGUGGUCACAUCAACAGAAGCAGAGUAAUGUAGUAGGAAGAUCAUGGAAUCUGGGAAUGGAAGAUAUACCUGGUUUGGUAUGACCUAAGGCAAGUCACUUAAUCUCUCUGAGCCUAUUUCCUUAUCUGUAAAAUGAAGGGGUUGGAACAGAUUUCUCCUCAAAGUCCUUCUAAAUCUUAUGAUACUAUUAUGAUUAAAGGAAUCAGGAGGGGGAAAGAAGGAUGUAGGGGAAUGAAUACAAAAGGGAUAGGGACUUGAAUUUAUGAAAUAAGACAAAUUCUAAUCACAGCAAGAG
rnacentral:lncRNA from 1 species